GCAACAUCCUCUCGCCUUCCAGAGUUACAUCAGACAAGCCUUCACUGAUAAUCAUAGAAUUUUCAUGUUAUUCAUAUUAAUCUAUGUUAUUGGGCAAAAAUAUGUAAGUAAUAUGUAACAUCAAUGAGAAGAAAAGGCAGGGACAAAGCUGUGUAAGAGCAGAAUUUUGGCAUGCUAUUAAAGGUCAUGGACAGCCAUGGAAAGAUUUUAAGAGAAGUUAUACUGGAGCAUGUGCCAGGGGCUUAUUACAAGAUUCCAGCAUACUUUAAUUCAGUGAAGAUUCAUUUUGUGCCCAGAUGUGCCCAGAGCUCAGCUGGACUCUGGGGACACACAGAUGCGGCAGACACAGACCUUCCUUUGAGAAGCUCAGGUCUCCAUCAGAAGACAACAAGAAUUUGGGGACAGCUAAAGAUCAACUGGGAGUCCUUGCUAGUGAGACGCUCUCUGGCACCUGGAGAAAUUGAUCGACUGCUGUGAGCUUAGAAACAGGCCUCGCAAAGAGAAAGGAACAGGAGUCACCAUGACAGAACCUGAUCAUUCCCUCACACGAUCGUGCUGCUUUGUCACAAAAAUCCUGUGUGGCAGAUACAACGGCUGCUAUUAUUAUUGUUCGCAUUUCGCAGAAGAGCAAAAUGAGCCUUCGAGGGAUUGGAUAGCAGCCCAAGGUUGCCUAGUUAUGGAUGAAGGAAAAGGCAUCAAGCUCAGACAUAAGGCUUCACUGAGGCUCAAACAAAUUUUCAGUAAGGAAACCAUUGUACAUUCUGAAAGAUAUAAAAAUUUGGACAGCCUUGCUGAACCCCAACAAUAAAUGCAGUGGGUUUGGUUUCCAUUUGACAAGGGAAGGGGGUUGACACAAGAAACUAACACCACUUGAGCUCUACCAUGUGCCUGGCACUACACAAUGCCACCUGCACGCAUUGCCUCUCUGAAUCCUCACGCCAGCAGCAGCGUGAAGUAAGCUUCCAGCUGGAAUCAGAACCUUAGAGAGGAAUUUUCCUGUGACCAGGGAUUCAAACCUAGGUCUGGUGGUACCAGACCAGGACUCGCAUUCCACACUGGUCACCUUCUGCAGAGAAACCAACCUUGCAGAACAGAGGAAAGGAUGGGA